UACGUAGGGGGGCAAGCGUUGUCCGGAUUUAUUGGGCGUAAAGAGCGUGUAGGCGGCUAGAUAGGUCCGUUGUGAAAAACUCGAGGCUCAACCUCGAGACGUCGAUGGAAACCAUCUGGCUAGAGUCCGGAAGAGGAGAGUGGAAUUCCUGGUGUAGCGGUGAAAUGCGCAGAUAUCAGGAAGAACACCCGUGGCGAAGGCGGCUCUCUGGUACGUGACUGACGCUGAGACGCGAAAGCGUGGGGAGCAAACAGG
rnacentral:rRNA from 1 species